GUUAGAAUGCACAGCCAGGUGACUGACCCACUUUGCCUGGAUGGCAGAUUUCUUUCUUUUACUAGCUGGAAAGUCCAGGACAGGAAAGAAGGAAGUGGAGGAAAGCAAGAAGUGGUGGUAAAUGCAAAUAUUUGAAGCACAGCAAAGGCCCAACAUAAGCAUGGUUCUACAUGUCCCUUUAGUCCCAUCGAUGCCCAUAAGGAUCCUCUUUCCAACAGUCAGUCAUGAGAUGGGGAAGAACCGUGCCAUGAAGAUGCACUCUGAAAAGUGAGAGCUGGAUACACCCAGCUGCCUUUGACGAAUCUGAGGCAAACUCUCUCUUACCAGAAUUUGGAGGUGGGGCAUUUUUCCAGGCCCUUCAAUGCAGUCCAGUGAGAUUCCCAUACCUGACUCCAUACUCAAUACCAGGCAUGGGGUUGUGUCAGCGAGACAAGGCAUGCAGAGCAUGUGCUGGGGCUCCUGGAUCUCAGGGGUGUGGGAGAUGCUGCUGAGGCAGUGGACACAUUGCCAUGGCAACCUCCUCUAACAUGUACGUGGCUGGAGGUGCCGCCUGACUGUCUGCCAACUAGCCAUUGAUUUUGUCUAUUAUGGUUUUUCAAGUGAAUCACCAUGAGACAAAGCAAACAGAAAAGUGUACAUCUGCUAAAGAAUCUUAUUAAACUGUUC
rnacentral:lncRNA from 1 species